rnacentral:ncRNA from 2 species
CCGAGAACUUUAGGGAACAUCCCCCUUAAGAUCUAGGUAUCUCGUUGAUACCUCUAAUUUACCUAGCAGGCCCUCGCUACGUAAAUUAGAACCUCUUCUACAAGUCAAUAAGAUUAAUAUCUUGUGUUGCCAGCCCGUCUUCAGGCUGGCUUUUUUUAUA